AUGGAUAGUGUGGACGUACCAGGAGAGGACUUCAUCCCUCUGACUGUUCUGCGCACCACAAUACCUCCUCACACCCCUGCCAGCUACCGAACUACUAUUCCUGGUUACACUGGAAAAGCCCGGUUUGACAGACCACAGACCUCAGGUGUCAGUCUGCCUUCUUUACCAUAUACUCCACAAACAGCAGGGAGCUGUUCUGGUACCUGGAGCACCCUUGACUACGGACACAAGGCUCCUCUGUCAGGAAUGAUCACUACUGUCCCACCGGGAAACCCUUACCUUCAUCCCAAAGCCCCGGUACUUUCCAUGAAAAAACUCUAAAAGCACAGCAUGUUCCUUAUAAAGAGAAGAAUAAAUGAUGAAGAAGUGUG
rnacentral:lncRNA from 1 species